UCAGCCUCCCGAGUAGCUGGGAUAAUUGACACCCGCACCCGGCUAAUGUUUGUACUUUUAGUAGAGGUGCGGUUUCACCACGUUGGCCAGGCUGGUCUCGAACUCCUGACUCAAGUGAUCUGCCCGCCUUGGUCUCCCAAAGUGCUGGGAUUACAAGCGUGAGCCACCGCACCCGACCCGAUUUCACAUCUUUGUCUCCACACUACUGUUAAUUUUUUUUAAACGAAAUUUGAACCACUAUGCAGAGUUUUGCAACCUACAUUUUUUGUUGUUUAGCAAAAUAUCUUCAACUUUCCUUGUUCCUGCAUGUAGACCUACUGCAUUCUUUAAUAGCUGUUAGCAUUCCAGGGUAUAACUUCUUUUUUUUUUUCUUUGAGACAGGGUCUCCCUCUGUUGCCCAGGCUGGAGUGCCCAAGGUUGAUCGUGGCUCACUGAAGCACCCUGGGCUCUGGCCAUCUUCCCGCCUCAGCCAAUUGAGUAGCUGGGACUGAAGGUGCACACCGCCAUGCCCUGCUUUUUUUUUUUUUUUUGGUAGAAAUAGGUUUCUCUAUGUUGCCUGGGCUGGUCUCAAACUCCUGGGCUCAAGCGGUCCUCCUGCCUCGCUCGGCCUCUCAAAGUUCUGGGAUUACAGCCCAGCAUGUGAUCCAGCUUGACGAACGUUUCAUGUGCACGUGACAAGAAUGGAUAUUCUGCUGUUGUUGGCUGUAGUGUUCUAUGUCAGACGGGGUCUCAUUCUGUCACCCAGGCUGAGUGCAGUGACAUGAUCACAGUUCACUGCAGCAUUGACCUCCCAGGCUCAAGCGAUCCUCCCACCUCAGCCCCGUGAGUAGCUGGGCCUACAGGUCCACACCACCACAUCCAGCUAAUUUUCUAAUGUUUUUAUAGAGAUGGGGGUCUCACUGUGUUGCCCAGGCUGGUCCCGAAUUCCUGGGCUCAAGUGAUCCUCCUGCCUCAGCUUCCCAAAGUGCUAGGAUUAUAGGUGUGAGCCACCACAUCCAGCCUAAAAUUUUCAUGCUUCUACUCUUAUCUCAUUUGUGUUUUUAUAUUUCAAGUGAGUCACUUGUAGACAACUUAUAGUUGGGUUUCCUUUUAGAUCUAGUUUGACAACCUCUGCCUUUUAAUUGGAGUGUUGCAUCCCUUUACACUGAACAUAAUUAUCAGUAUGGUUAGGUUGAAGUCUACCAUCUUGCUACUUAUUUUCUACUUGUCACAUCUGGCUUUUUAUUCCUCUGUCACUGCUUUCCUGUCUUUCUGGUAAAUCUUUUUAAAUAUUUCAUUUUGUAGCCAUCCCUGUGGGGGUGUCAGUGAUGCUCGGGCUCCACUAACUGCACCAUUGUCCUACUCCAUCUCCUUUGAGCCUCCUGUCAACCUCUGCACACAUGGCCUCAGCCCCUAGCCCUGGAUGACCACCAUUAGACCCAGCAGAACCGUGGCAGUGGUUUGCUGGCCCAGCACCUAGAGCCGCAGAAUACGCUCCCUUGACCCUCAGGGAAAGAUGCAGCGCUAGUGAGACUUGCUCUCCUCCACCACCAAAGUAAGGUGAGUUUACCCCCUCCCUCAUCCCAGGAUCCUCCCUGAAUGGGCCAGGGGCUGCUGCUAACACAUCUCAGGACCGCCAGCCUCAGCCCCGCUCCCAGCACUUUGUUAAAGGUGAGAGCACUAGUGGAAAGAAAGGCUGCACAUUAGGGCAAGAGCAGCUUCUGAGGCCCUCUUGAAGCCCAGCCCUGCCGUCUUGGCAGUGAGGUAUGCCCCCAACCUCCACUUCGCUCUUAGUACUGGGGCCAAAGUAUCCUGGGUGUAAAAUGGGGACGAUCCGCUCCAUGCCACGGGGUCCUGAGGAUCAUACACAACAGUGCCCCUAAAGCGCCUGGCACAGCACCUGACCGGAGCACACGGGCAACACAUAGGCAACAAACAGGAGCUGGAAGAGUUACCUGUGGCUGCCAGAACCAACACCACAAACCAGGCAUGGUGCUAGGGGGUCAUGCACCCGACAUUUAUUUUCUCACCGUUCAGGAGGCCAGAAGUCUGAGAUCCAGGUGCCGGCAGGGCCACACCCCGUCUGAGGGCUCUGGGGGAGGAAGCCUCCUGGCCUCUUCCAGCUCCCCAUGGCUCCAGGCUCCUGGGCUUGUGGCUGCAUCGCUCCUGCCUCUGCCUCUGUCUUCACGUGGCCUGUCCCCAUGUGUCUUUUCCUCCCCUCCUUAGGACAUUCGUCAUUGGAUUUAGGGCCCACCCAGAAUCCAGGAGGGGCUCAUCUUCAGAUCCUUAACGACACCUACAAAGACCCUUUAUCUAAAUAAGGUCAGAUCCACAGGUCCCAGGGGUUAGGAUAUGGACAUAUGUUUUUGAAGGCACCAUUCAACCCACCAACAGGAGCCAUCACAUUCUCAUUUCUCCUUCCUUAACGUUUUCACGGGCCCAGCACACAGGCCAGGAUGGAGCAUUCUUUGAGGUGUUCCUGGGAGCCCAGCAACAGACCGGGUGUUCAGUGUGCCCCUGUUGGUCUCCAUGUGGGCCCUGCAAGAAGGAACCACCCCCGUUUUAUGGGGGGUUCAGGGCUUGUGGCCAGAUCUGCAGCUAGGCCUGGAUCAGGCUCCCGUCCAGCUCCAGGGCAGAUAGAUAGAUAACUGCAGAGCUCUCCGGAGUCCUGUGCACGCCUCGGCUCACACUGCAGCUCAGCAGCAGCAACGCGGGUGACAGAAACCAGCUCUGGGUCUGUGAGCCUCUGUCUCACCUGCUGGGGGAUGGCGCAGUAUUGCUCCAAGACACGCAAACAGCUGUGGGCAGCAGAGACAGUGAGGCAAUCCUGCCGCACUCUCCAACCAUGCCCUCCUCAGCCACGCGGAGAAAGCACACCUUCAUCUGUGCAAGGAAUCCUCAAGAAGCAGACAAAAUUCAUGCGCUGUUAAUUCAGAUGUUACAGUCACAUCCAAUGCUAAGCGCUGUUCUUUGAAAACAGCUGAAGUAGACACAUCUUCCAAGAACAAAUCAUAGAAAUGUUACCAGGCGACUGUCUUUGCAUCAGUGAUGGGGACUUGGGGUGAGCUUAUGGUUGGCGUUGUGAACAGUGCCAGCUCCCUAAAGCAAGCUUUCUUUUCUGUUGUUUGAAAUGCGGCAGGAGAACUGAAAUCCUAUUAAAAUAUACUGGUUUCCGGUUCAAGAGAAAGAAAUACUUUUUUGCACCAAUUUAAUUCAGAUUUCUAAAGCCGAGGCAGGGACGGCAUCACAGUCUGUUGAAUGAAUUCCAGCUCAGCUGGGGCCUUGCCAUGACAAAUCAUUCCUAAUAGAAUCUCUCCAAACCACAGGGGAAAAAUCGAAGGCAUCAAAGUGCCCUUUCCAUUUCAAUAAACUCCACUGGCCACGAUUCUGUUUGCAAAACACAGAAUAAACAUGGAACCCAGGCCUGCCCAGCACAUUUACUCCCUGGCUAGCACCUCUGUUCACCUGUUGUUUUCUCUUUUAUAUGAGUGACCGUUUCCUAAAACGCAAUCACUGUCGAGUAAGAUCUUGGAAAUUAUCCAUGGAGAAAAGACCUGAAGAGUCUGCAUUAAAAUAACGUGACCGGUGCCUGGAAUGAGGAAGGAGCACAUUCAGGAUGGUCCUGGGUCAUUUUCAAGACCUUCCCCCAGUCACUGUCGGAUGAAGUAAGGAGCUGGACAUCGGUGUUUAUUAAACCAGAUUUAUUCUCCACAAGCUGAAGAUACCUGAGGUUGCAUGAGGACUGGCAUUAAAUAAUUUAUAAAUGUAUUUCUGACAGACUUUUAUCAUAAGGAUUCAUGUGUUUACAAAAGCAAAAUCUAAGCUCUCCACAGCUAGAAAGUGGGAAGGUGCCCCGCUGCAAGCACAGCCUUGGGGGAGGAUGAGGCCACAUAGUUCUGCUCCGCCCACAUUCUCAGAACGCCCCAAGAAGUUAGUGGCUACGCAAAGCCAAGCCUUGGGGGAGAACGGUCCGUGGUGUGGACUCUCCAAAAUGCAGACCCAACGAGAGGCCGGGCCCGCCUUUGCAUCUGGAGGCACUGCAGAGCUGCUGAAAGCGGCCCAUCCCAGGAGCCUGGCAAACACCCCCAGAGACCCUCAGGAUGAGCCAGCUCUGGGGCUGUGUCCUGAGAAGCUGGGGCUCCGUGGCCCAGCUUGUGGAUGGGUGUCCAGGGGGCAGGCCCCAUGCCCUUAGCACGUGCUGACACGCUCCCUCCAGCUCCAACAACCACACCAGAACCUUCCAUAGAACAUUUAAGUAAUGAAAUCUCAACAUUACAGUAAAAAGGUGCAAAGGGUCUCUUUUGCAAAUAUUUAUGUACAGCUAAGAUCUUGUUGAGUUCAGUAAAGCAUCCUGCGCGUGCACAUACGCAGUGUGCACAGAUUCAGGGGAAAUUGAGCAGCACACUGGAAGACGAGAUUAUACAGGAUGCUAUUUUACUUUUGAUCCCAUGUAGUUUCCUGAGCAUGAUAUUUUAGAUGGAACUCUUUCUGGUCUGUGAUCUUUGGUAGAAAAAAGGUCUCUGGGAUUAUUAUAAAAAUUUUGCAUCUAU